CUCGAGUAUCACGGACUAAAUCAAGCAACAUUACUUGGAUCAAAGUGCAGGUACAUUAGUUUUCACAAUUUUGCUUAUUAUAGUUAUGCUACUAGAUAAAACAAGACAACUAUACAUUCUUAUUUGUUUUUCUAUGUAGUGUGCUCAACAGCGAAAUAGUAUAGAUUGCGGAUACUUCGUUUUGAGGUUUAUCAAAGAAAUCCUCCAAAUGAAUCGAAUAGAGAUUCCAAUCACGUACUUCGAUGAAGUCAAGUGUGCUCAUUACACGAAACUUCAGUUGGAAGAAAUCAAAGAGGAAUUGUGUCAAUAUUUUAUUGCGCAAAGAAUCAUAUAAGGGGCAGUUCAUGAUUGGUGUAGCAGGGCAUUGGUUGAAUUGAGAUAUGGCUAAGCUUGAAGUGAGGAUAUGCAAGAUGGAAUCAAAAGGUUUUAUUGAACAUGGCUUGGAAUGAUGAGAAUGAUGUUGGAACAUGUAGAAUAGGUGGGAGUAGUUUAGUUGUU